UACGUAGGGCGCAAGCGUUAUCCGGCAUUAUUGGGCGUAAAGAGCUCGUAGGCGGUUUGUCGCGUCUGCCGUGAAAGUCCGGGGCUCAACUCCGGAUCUGCGGUGGGUACGGGCAGACUAGAGUGAUGUAGGGGAGACUGGAAUUCCUGGUGUAGCGGUGAAAUGCGCAGAUAUCAGGAGGAACACCGAUGGCGAAGGCAGGUCUCUGGGCAUUAACUGACGCUGAGGAGCGAAAGCAUGGGGAGCGAACAGG
rnacentral:rRNA from 1 species